rnacentral:rRNA from 1 species
GUAGGUGGCAAGCGUUGUCCGGAAUUAUUGGGCGUAAAGCGCGCGCAGGCGGUCCUUUAAGUCUGAUGUGAAAGCCCACGGCUCAACCGUGGAGGGUCAUUGGAAACUGGGGGACUUGAGUACAGAAGAGGAAAGCGGAAUUCCAAGUGUAGCGGUGAAAUGCGUAGAGAUUUGGAGGAACACCAGUGGCGAAGGCGGCUUUCUGGUCUGUAACUGACGCUGAGGCGCGAAAGCGUGGGGAGCAAACAGGGAUUAGAUACCCUGGUAGUCCACGCCGUAAACGAUGAGUGCUAAGUGUUAGGGGGUUUCCCGCCCCUUAGCGCUGCAGCUAACGCAUUAAGCACUCCGCCUGGGGAGUACGGCCGCAAGGCUG